GGGCGUUUGGCACAGUGGUAGCGCGCACGCUUUGCAUUUGUAUCUCUGCAAUUGGUAUGCGUGAGGUCGAGAGUUCAAUCCUCCCAACGUCCA
rnacentral:tRNA from 1 species